GAGCUGUUCGGGUGACACUGACGCUCUGUCCCCCUCUUGGCUUGCAGAGGGGCGUUCUCGGUCGUGAGGCGAUGUAUGAAAAUCACCACAGGACAGGAGUAUGCUGCCAAAAUCAUCAACACCAAAAAGCUCUCGGCCAGGGAUCACCAGAAACUGGAAAGAGAAGCUAGAAUCUGUCGUCUCUUGAAGCAUCCUAAUAUCGUGCGGCUUCAUGACAGCAUAUCAGAAGAGGGAUUCCAUUACUUAGUCUUUGACUUAGUCACUGGAGGUGAAUUGUUUGAAGAUAUAGUUGCAAGAGAGUAUUACAGUGAAGCAGAUGCCAGUCAUUGUAUACAGCAGAUUCUAGAAAGUGUUAAUCAUUGUCAUCUAAAUGGCAUAGUUCACAGAGACCUGAAGCCUGAAAACUUACUUUUAGCUAGCAAAUCCAAGGGAGCAGCAGUAAAACUGGCAGACUUUGGAUUGGCUAUAGAAGUCCAAGGGGAACAACAGGCUUGGUUUGGCUUUGCUGGCACUCCAGGAUACCUUUCUCCAGAAGUCUUACGGAAAGAUCCAUAUGGAAAACCUGUGGAUAUGUGGGCAUGUGGUGUCAUUCUGUAUAUCCUCCUGGUGGGUUAUCCUCCUUUCUGGGAUGAAGACCAGCACAGACUUUACCAGCAGAUAAAGGCUGGUGCUUAUGAUUUUCCCUCUCCAGAGUGGGAUACAGUGACUCCUGAGGCAAAAGACCUUAUCAAUAAAAUGCUUACCAUCAACCCUGCAAAACGUAUCACAGCUUCAGAAGCACUAAAGCAUCCAUGGAUCUGUCAACGUUCCACUGUUGCCUCUAUGAUGCACAGACAGGAGACUGUAGAUUGCUUGAAGAAAUUCAAUGCAAGAAGAAAACUAAAGGGGGCCAUUUUGACAACUAUGCUGGCUACCAGGAAUUUCUCAGCAGCCAAGAGUUUACUGAAAAAGCCAGAUGGAGUUAAGAAAAGGAAGUCCAGUUCGAGUGUUCAAAUGAUGAUAAACAACAAAACGAACGUGGUAACCAGCCCCAAGGAAAAUAUUCCUACCCCUGCGCUGGAGCCCCAAACUACAGUUAUCCACAACCCUGAUGGAAAUAAGGAAUCCACAGAGAGUUCCAAUACAACCAUUGAAGAUGAAGAUGUGAAAGCUCGUAAGCAGGAGAUUAUCAAGGUUACUGAGCAGUUGAUUGAAGCUAUCAACAAUGGGGACUUUGAAGCUUACACAAAAAUCUGUGAUCCAGGCCUUACAUCCUUUGAACCUGAAGCUUUGGGUAAUCUAGUAGAAGGGAUGGACUUUCAUCGGUUUUACUUUGAAAAUGCUUUAUCCAAAAGUAAUAAGCCAAUCCACACCAUUAUCCUCAAUCCUCAUGUCCACCUUGUGGGUGAUGAUGCUGCUUGCAUUGCAUAUAUACGGCUCACGCAGUACAUGGAUGGAAGUGGGAUGCCAAAGACAAUGCAGUCAGAGGAAACACGGGUCUGGCACCGUCGUGACGGGAAAUGGCAGAAUGUUCACUUUCACCGUUCAGGGUCACCAACAGUACCUAUCAACUGUGAUGCCCACUGAUACAGUUCAGUCCAUGAGUUGAGAGUUGGAGAGAAAAAUGAUGUAAUAUAGAUAAGGGUUGAUACAAGUCACAAAAAUGGGAUUGGAAAACUUGAAAUACGAUUCCAGGAAAAUGUGGAGAGGAAAAAAAAAAAAGUGAUAGGAUACAUGGAGCUGUUAGAGCUGACUGGAAAAUGUGAAGGAAAAAAACCCUGAAAUUUGAGUAGUAUUUUCUGUAAUUUCCAGCCACCUCUAUCCACUCAGGCCUACAUACAUUCUUUACAACUCCAUUUUGAGUCAGUUUAUGUAUUUCCUUUGUAACGUCAUACAAAUACCUAUCAUGUUCUUACCUUUUUCCCCAUGCUCCUUUUGCUUAAUUGCUGAGUGGUCACUGUCUAAUAGUUACUCCACCUCCAUGAGUAAACCUCUACUCUCUUUUGUCAUCAUUUUUCUGUGUCAGUUCUUCGUUGUUUUUUUUUUUCCAAAUGCCCUCUAACUCUAAUGCCCUCAGUCAUGCAGUGACUCAGUGUGCACAAACCUGAAUUCCUUGAGCCAGAUAUUUAGCACACUCACAGUUCUUUUAAUAAGUUAAAGAGUCAUGGCUCCUUCAAGUGGUUCUUCUCAAGUCCUUUUCUUUUCUUCUGCUUUUAGCCUUUACUAACUCUACUGUGUCUCUUGAAGCCCAGGUGGGCCAGUUUCAUUAAGAAGACACUUAAAUUAGACCAUUUUUCAAUUAAGCAACACUGGCAUAGGCUUUAACUUGCUCAGAUGCAAGUCUUCUGUGUAAGAUAUAAUUACUUUUGUAUGAAGUGUCUUAAUGUGGAUAAUUGCUGAAUUUGCCAGUGUGAAUGAUGAAAGCUUAGAUUUCAUCUUUCAAACUUCAUCAUGUCCCAUAACUUACCUGCAGAAUCAUUCCCAUACAAAAUAAUGCUAUUAGGGAAGAUUAUUAGGGAACAUAGAAACAUUGAAUAUCCUGAGUCAAAAGGAACCAACAAAGAUAAAGUCCAACUCCUGGUUCCACACAGAACUGCCUAAAUGCAAUAGAACAAAGUGUUAAAUUUCAGUGAGGAGGAUAGGUACAGAGAUGUAUAUAUUUAGGAAAUAUACAUAUAUAUUUAGAAAAAGAGUGAUUUUGUUACCUACUGAUAACUGUUGUGUUUUGUUUUGUUUUUUAAAGGGAAACCAAUGAGAGAACCAUGUUGUCCUAUUUUUCACAUCACAGCUGCAUUGCCAGUGUUAAAACAGAUAAUAUUGAAAGAAUAAUUGCAUUUUCUUGAAAUGCAGUUAUUUUUUGAUGUUUUCAUAAAGGUGCUUUUUUUCAGGGGAUCUGACCUGGAUAUGUGUAGAGCCAGAAAACAUAAGUGAGACAGGUUCAACUGUCCCAGAGCAUCCUGGACAGUGUCUGUUGCAGACUCCUGUAUAGAAUUGGAGUAGGGAAUUAUUUCAUCUUUUUUGUUGUUGUUGUUCUGUUUUUGAGAUGGUUGGGGAGUAGGAAGAAAGCAUCUUUUUCUUUUUUUUAAAAAAAGAAAAGCUUUCCUGACCUAAGCAUAAAUAACAAGGUAAUUUAUGGCACUUAUUCUUAGACAUUAAAACCAGAAGGCAACAAAAUAACCAUCCUGUUACUAUUUUUAUGGAAGAUUAUAGAAUUUAUCCAGCAAUUCAUGUGAAAAUAGUUCCAGUAAUGAUUUACAGAGAUAUACUACAUAGAUUCUACAGCUUCUUCUGUUUGAGAUAUAAUGCUGUAACAGGAGCCUCAGUACUAGUUCACGCAGCACGUGCGAUCACAGAAGAUGGGCUGCUGCGUCCUGUGACAUUUACUGUUCCUGCAAACACUCAUCAGUGCUAAUUUCUCUGGAAUAUAAUGAGCAUGCAGAGUGUCUGCCUGCCUCAGAGUCUGCAGAAUGCAGAUCUCAGGGGAAUACAGUUGCACAUACAGACCUGAGAUGUUCCUCACAGAAGCUGUGACAGUAUUUCGGACUCAUGUACUGUCAGUUCUUUAUGUCUGCUCAUACUGUCCAAGAAGAGUAAGAAAAGUAAGGAUUAUGGGACUAAGAAGAAGCGAGACCCUUUUUUUUUUUUUUGGUGAGUCCAGAUUGUGUAAGAUAGCCAUUUAUUUAUCCUCAACUGUCAUUUCCAACCAGCAACUAUAAGGAAAUUUGCUGAGUAUGAGCAGCUUUGUGCUUCCUAUUACUAUAUAUACUAUUUCUGAAUUACCCACUCUUCAAGGUCAUUUGGACUUCUCAUACAAUACUCCUGUUUUCUUCUCUAUUUAUAAUGCCAUUCACCUUUGUGUAAAUGUGUUUGUGCUCAGGUCAUUGACUGAGACUCCUCUAGGUAGAUAUUUCCCCUUCCAGCCCAAGUACUGUCAUUUUUCUUUCAGUUAUUUUCAUUUGUAUUUUUCCACUAAACUAUGUCUUUUCAAAUUUUUGUAACAGAUUCCCACAUAGCACUGUGUCAGAACUCACCUUCUAUAAACCAUCCUGGCUGUGUUUACGAUCAUCUUUGACUUUAUAUUUACUUUUCCAGUCAGACCAGCAAUUCCAUUUUUUGUAAAUUUUUUAAGAAAUUCAAAUUGAAUUCAUUCCAGAUCAUCCAUGUUUUCUUUUCUUGUAUUUGAAAUUUACAGUCUGUGACAGUUUAUUUAUUACCAACAAUUAUAUAAAUACAUAAAUAGCAGUAAUGGCAUUUAUGUAAUAAUAAUAAUAGAAAAAAAUCUUACUCAUAUGUCUGAUGAAGAGUUUCAAAUCUAAUAAACUUGCAAAGGCAGUUAAUUAUAGCUGUGAUCUGCUUUUGCAAACAUAGUAUCCUAUGUUAUUUCAAAUCAGUUACUUUGAGCAGAUUAGCUUAUUUAUUUUGAGAACUCCAAUAAUGAGUGCACAAAUCUAAGGACAGAAUUGAGCUCUCUGGUAGCAAUAGGUGUAUGGAAAUAUUUCCCAAGGGCAAAUAAUUGAUUUAGAGGAGAAUAUGAACACAAAAAUAUGUUUAGUUUAUGUGUGAAUUUUGUUCGUAGUUUUUGCUGUGAGACAGACCAGACAAAUUUUAAUUUUUGUCUUGCACAUUGUUUCUCUGUAUUUGAGUGAUAUGUCUGGUUCUAGGAAAUCUUUCUCUGUAUUCAGUUAUCUUAAGAAUAUGUGCUACUGUAUUUCUGCAGAACUGUAUCUAUGUGUGCACAAUGAGUGGACAUACAUUAUUUAAGCAUUUAAAAACUAUUGGACCUGCAAGUGGUUCCCAAAUCUUAAUACCUGUGAUUCCCAGGUCUAUAUUCACUCACUUUAUCACAUCUUACACUUUCUUAUGCUUUCCUGAGUUACAUACAAAACAGCAAGAAACUUGAGUAAAGACUUUGUUCUGUGUUUGUACAGUGCCUAGCACAGCGGGAUCCCAUUCAUGACUUCAGCCCCUAAAUGCUAAAAUUAUCAGCGGUGCCGCUCUUGUAUUAUCUGUACCCAACGCACCUGGUUUAGUACCAUCUUGGCCAUCCCGUUCUCUUCAUGAAUGUUUCUGAGUGCAUGAAGUUGUGAAGGUUCUUCAUGUAACACAUUUGUGAUGCACCAUUUUGCUGUGUAUUCCAUCUGUACACUGUUAACAUUUCAAUGAAGGUGAUGUUCCAAGCAAAUAGAAAAUAGCAAGGCAUAAAAGACAAAAAAAAAUACAGCUCAUGUACAGCAGUAUAUACAGGAUACAUUUGUCAUCUUUUCUCCAUUUAUGCCAAGUUUUGACAGCCAACUUCAAAAACUAUCCUAUUUAUAAAAAAGAAAAGAAACAAAAAAUACACUUUACCCUCUUUUCUUAAGAACUGUUUUUUGACUCCUUUUCCCUUGAGUCCUCUUUGGAUUUUGCUUUCGUUCUGAUAGGAGUGGUUAGGAUUUCUGCUGGCAGCUCUGUUACUAUAAAACAGAUUUUUAUUAUAUCUUGUAGAUGGACAAAAUCACUGAUAAAUGGGAGAGUGAUAAUAUCUUGGCUUUGUACCAGCUGAAGUCUUCUUAGCUUAUUAGUCUAUGUCAACUGGAAAAAUCUUGUAAUUUGCUGGCUUCAGGAUUAACUGUCAAUAUUCUGGCUGGUCAGCAUUCUUCUUUUUUUCACUGAAGUUUUUACCUUUGCUUUCUUACUAUGCUAAAUGAAAAUUUAUAUUGGAUAAUUAAUCAGAAUUAAAAAUCAUAAGGAACUAAGUGAGAGGCAGGUUUCAUUUAAAAAAAGAUUCUAAAGAGAUCUAAAAAAUAGAUUUUUAUCACUUUUAGAGCGCACUGUAAAGAUAUUAAGGAGUCUUUAAAGCAUUUUACAUUUUUGUUUAAGCUAUAGACCACAUCAGUGGUUAAUAUACUCUAGAAGUAUUAGGCCUUAAAAGCUUAGUAUGAAGAGUUUGUUUACUUUCCAAUGUUGCUGUUGCUUCUCUGGAAAUGUAUUUUAUCUACACCAGUUUUCUAGUAAGGCUGUAGUACCUUUCCACAGAUUUGUUUUUUUUCCCUUUUCGCCCUCCGUCUGCUCUUGGUUUAUGAAAAUCAUCAGUCAGCAUACAAUAUCAAGGACAACAAUCUCUGCAGCAUUACUAGUUUGUUUUGGCUCCUUAUCCCUAGCUGCAAAUGCAGGGAAUGCUCUCAAUGUCGGUUCGGAACACAAACUUUGUGACAGGGACUGUUUUUGCUUCCCUUACAGAGCUGUGAGAGUGCAUCUUUGCAAGGAUUUAGGCUUAUUCCCUUCCAUUUUAAGAGAAAAACGCAGGGAUCAGUUAUUUCUUUUUCAUUUGUUAAUUAUUUUAUUACCAACAGGGCUAACUGUUUUCUGCAGCGCUGUAUAGUGCAUGAUAUCUCAAUGUUCUUUUUAGCAGUGAAAACUUUACAACUCAGCAGCCUGAAGUUUAUAAAAUGGGAAAGCUUCCUAAUUUGUAUAAUUCCACCUUUCUGUGUUGUUACUAAUCGAAAGCAGUUCUUAAACAUUUUGAUGUUGUUGCUAGUGGAUGUAUGGUAGAUGGAUUUAAGCUUCUCUGAUAAUUAUUACAUGAUUUUAAACGUAUAUAUUUAAAAUAAGAAUCUACAAUAAAUGUGUUGAGCCAUA